AUUGAACGCUGGCGGCAGGCCUAACACAUGCAAGUCGAGCGGAUGAAGAGAGCUUGCUCUCUGAUUUAGCGGCGGACGGGUGAGUAAUGCCUAGGAAUCUGCCUGGUAGUGGGGGAUAACGUUCCGAAAGGAACGCUAAUACCGCGUACGUCCUACGGGAGAAAGCAGGGGACCUUCGGGCCUUGCGCUAUCAGAUGAGCCUAGGUCGGAUUAGCUAGUUGGUGAGGUAAUGGCUCACCAAGGCGACGAUCCGUAACUGGUCUGAGAGGAUGAUCAGUCACACUGGAACUGAGACACGGUCCAGACUCCUACGGGAGGCAGCAGUGGGGAAUAUUGGACAAUGGGCGAAAGCCUGAUCCAGCCAUGCCGCGUGUGUGAAGAAGGUCUUCGGAUUGUAAAGCACUUUAAGUUGGGAGGAAGGGCAUUAACCUAAUACGUUAGUGUUUUGACGUUACCAACAGAAUAAGCACCGGCUAACUUCGUGCCAGCAGCCGCGGUAA
rnacentral:rRNA from 1 species